rnacentral:rRNA from 1 species
UACAGAGGUCCCAAGCGUUGUUCGGAUUCAUUGGGCGUAAAGGGUGCGUAGGUGGCGCCGUAAGUCGGGUGUGAAAUUUCGGAGCUUAACUCCGAAACUGCAUUCGAUACUGCGGUGCUUGAGGACUGGAGAGGAGACUGGAAUUCAUGGUGUAGCAGUGAAAUGCGUAGAGAUCAUGAGGAAGACCAGUGGCGAAGGCGGGUCUCUGGACUGAACACUGACGCUCAUGCACGAAAGCGUGGGGAGCAAACAGG